UACAGAGGUCUCAAGCGUUGUUCGGAUUCAUUGGGCGUAAAGGGUGCGUAGGUGGCGCCGUAAGUCAGGUGUGAAAUUUCGGAGCUUAACUCCGAAACUGCAUUUGAUACUGCGGUGCUUGAGGACUGGAGAGGAGACUGGAAUUUACGGUGUAGCAGUGAAAUGCGUAGAGAUCGUAAGGAAGACCAGUGGCGAAGGCGGGUCUCUGGACAGUUUCUGACACUGAGGCACGAAGGCCAGGGGAGCAAACGGG
rnacentral:rRNA from 1 species